rnacentral:misc_RNA from 1 species
GAUGAAUAACGUAGCGAAAUGCGAUAAGUAAUGCGAAUUGCAGAAUUCAGUGAGUCAUCGAAUCUUUGAACGCACAUUGCGCCCUGUGGUAUUCCGCAGGGCAUGCCUGUUCGAGCGUCAUUUCAACCCUCAAGCCUCGCUUGGUGUUGGGCCCUGCCCGCCGCGGCCGGCCCUAAAGAUAGUGGCGGCGCCGCCUGGCCCUCAGCGUAGUACAGCUCUCGCUCCAGGGUCCGGCGGCAGCCUGCCAGAACCCCCCAACUCUGUGGUUGACCUCGGAUCAGGUAGGGAUACCCGCUGAACUUAAGCAUAUCAAUAAGCGGAGGA